UUCCGGUUGAUCCUGCCGGACCUGACUGCUAUCGGAUUGGUACUAAGCCAUGCGAGUCAUUGUAGCAAUACAAGGCGGACGGCUCAGUAACACGUAGUCAACCUAACUCGUGGACGUGGAUAACCUCGGGAAACUGAGAAUAAACCACGAUAGAUCAUAGUGCCUGGAAUGGCUUAUGGUCCAAACAGUUUACUGCCAUGGGAUGGGGACUGCGGCCUAUCAGCUUGUUGGUGAGGUAAUGGCCCACCAAGGCGAUUACAGGUACGGGCUCUGAGAGGAGAAGCCCGGAGAUGGGUACUGAGACACGGACCCAGGCCCUAUGGGGCGCAGCAGGCGAGAAACCUUAGCAAUGUGCGAAAGCACGACUGGGUCAGUCCGAGUGAUUCCUGAUAAAGGAGUCUUUUACCUGUCCUAAAAGCACAGGUGAAUAAGGGGUGGGCAAGUCUGGUGUCAGCCGCCGCGGUAAUACCAGCACCUCGAGUGGUCAGGACGUUUAUUGGGCCUAAAGCAUCCGUAGCCGGCUCUGCAAGUCUUCGGUUAAAUCCACCUGCUCAACAGAUGGGCUGCUGGAGAUACUACAGAGCUAGGGAGUGGGAGAGGCAGACGGUAUUCAGUGGGUAGGGGUAAAAUCCUCUGAUCCAUUGAGGACCACCAGUGGCGAAGGCGGUCUGCCAGAACACGUUCGACGGUGAGGGAUGAAAGCUGGGGGAGCAAACCGGAUUAGAUACCCGGGUAGUCCCAGCUGUAAACGAUGCAAACUCGGUGAUGCAUUGGCUUAUGGCCAAUGCAGUGCCGCAGGGAAGCCGUUAAGUUUGCCGCCUGGGAAGUACGGACGCAAGUCUGAAACUUAAAGGAAUUGGCGGGGGAGCACCACAA
rnacentral:rRNA from 2 species